UAAGAUGUAGUUAGAUGGUAGUGUAAA
rnacentral:piRNA from 1 species